rnacentral:rRNA from 1 species
GACGAGCGCUGGCUGCGUGCUUAACACAUGCAAGUCGAACGGGAAGGCCCUGCUUUUGUGGGGGGCUCGAGUGGCGAACGGGUGAGUAACACGUGAGUAACCUGCCCUUGACUUUGGGAUAACGUCAGGAAACUGGGGCUAAUACCGGAUAGGAGCUCCUGCUGCAUGGGGGGGGUUGGAAAGUUUCGGCGGUUGGGGAUGGACUCGCGGCUUAUCAGCUUGUUGGUGGGGUAGUGGCUUACCAAGGCUUUGACGGGUAGCCGGCCUGAGAGGGUGACCGGCCACAUUGGGCCUGAGAUACGGCCCAGACUCCUCCGGGAGGCAGCAGUGGGGAAUAUUGCACAAUGGGCGGAAGCCUGAUGCAGCAACGCAGCGUGCGGGAUGACGGCCUUCGGGUUGUAAACCGCUUUCGCCUGUGACGAAGCGUGAGUGACGGUAAUGGGUAAAGAAGCACCGGCUAACUACGUG